AGGACGAACGCUGGCGGCGUGCUUAACACAUGCAAGUCGAGCGGAAAGGCCCUUCGGGGUACUCGAGCGGCGAACGGGUGAGUAAUACGUGAGCAACCUGCCCUUAGCUCUGGGAUAGCUCCGGGAAACCGGAAUUAAUACCGGAUAUGACCUAGGCCGACAUCGGCCGUGGUGGAAAGUUUUUCGGCUAGGGAUGGACUCGCGGCCUAUCAGCUAGUUGGUGGGGUAAUGGCCUACCAAGGCGACGACGGGUAGCCGGCCUGAGAGGGCGACCGGCCACACUGGGACUGAGACACGGCCCAGACUCCUACGGGAGGCAGCAGUGGGGAAUCUUGCGCAAUGGGCGAAAGCCUGACGCAGCGACGCCGCGUGGGGAUGAAGGCCUUCGGGUUGUAAACCCCUUUCAGCAGGGACGAAGCGAAAGUGACGGUACCUGCAGAAGAAGCGCCGGCUAACUACGCGCCAGCAGCCGC
rnacentral:rRNA from 1 species